UACGGAGGGUGCGAGCGUCGUCCGGAAUCAUUGGGCGUAAAGGGCGCGUAGGUGGCCCGGUCAGUCAGUGGUGAAAGCGCGGGGCUCAACUCCGCGUCGGCCAUUGAUACUGCUGGGCUUGAGCACUGUAGAGGCAGGCGGAAUUCCGGGUGUAGCGGUGGAAUGCGUAGAGACCCGGAAGAACACCGGUGGCGAAGGCGGCCUGCUGGGCAGUAGCUGACACUGAGGCGCGACAGCGUGGGGAGCAAACAGG
rnacentral:rRNA from 1 species